CAGUAGCCGCGGGAAUACGUAGGUGGCAAGCGUUGUCCGGAAUUAUUGGGCGUAAAGGGCUCGCAGGCGGUUUCUUAAGUCUGAUGUGAAAACCCCCGGCUCAACCGGGGAGGGUCAUUGGAAACUGGGAAACUUGAGUGCAGAAGAGGAGAGUGGAAUUCCACGUGUAGCGGUGAAAUGCGUAGAGAUGUGGAGGAACACCAGUGGCGAAGGCGACUCUCUGGUCUGUAACUGACGCUGAGGAGCGAAAGCGUGGGGAGCGAACAGGAUUAGAUACCCGCGUAGUCCCUGUCUCUUAUAC
rnacentral:rRNA from 1 species